rnacentral:rRNA from 1 species
UACGUAGGGGGCAAGCGUUGUCCGGAUUCAUUGGGCGUAAAGAGCUCGUAGGCGGUUCAGCAAGUCGGGUGUGAAACCUCCAGCUCAACCUGGAGACGCCACCCGAUACUGCUGUGACUUGAGUCCGGUAGGGGACCACGGAAUUCCUGGUGUAGCGGUGGAAUGCGUAGAGAUCCGGAAGAACACCGGAGGCGAAGGCGGCUUGCUGGGCUUGGUCUGACGCUGAGGCGCGAAAGCGUGGGGAGCGAACAGG